GCUGGUAACCUUUUUUACUAGGUAGAGAAGCUGGACCAACUGGGGUUCUUCCAGGGGGAGAAUGAGAAAGAGAAACUGUUUUGCAAGUCCGUAGCUAUUUCUCUAGGGCCCUGUUAGCUGACAUUGACAUGCCUUGCAUUGCUCUGCAGAUCCCCUCGCAGCCCUCUGUCCCUUGUUCAUUUCUGGCCUUAGAGAAAGCAAAGCAGGGUCUGUAACAGGGGAGGCUGCCUCUAAACUCAGGGUUUGGUUACAGCUGUUUUCACUUACAUCACUGGCCCUGGUUUUUUUUUUUUUUCUGGCAUUAAAAAAAAAAAUUGGAAGCAGGUGAUGUUCCCAUUGCUGAUGUGGUGGAAACUCUCCAAGUGAACAAUAUACGUUUUUCUUGGCAGCUGUUUCUUGUGCCCUGCUUGCUCCUGGUCCAGGACAAGCAAGGACCAUCUGCCUCUUUCAAUAGAACACCUCCAGAUCCCUUUGAUCAAAAGUUACUCAUUGUCUGACUUGCUAUUUCUGUGAGAUAAAUGGGAGAAGAUCAAUAAAUGCACUUGUUUGUCCA
rnacentral:lncRNA from 1 species